rnacentral:lncRNA from 14 species
AUGGAAUAAACAUGUCUGAUAAGCAAUUUUCUAAUAGGAAAAUCUGAUCUCUCUUACUUAAAGAGAAAUAGUGAGGAAGAAGGCAUGUGUGGAGUUCUUAACUGCUGAGACUGAACAAGCAGAGUGAUAGAAGCUGGUCUGCAAUGUCAAACACCAGGUUCUUGUUGCUGACCCCAGUGGAGUUUGCUGCAAUGCUCUGCUGCUCAUGGCAACGUUGAAACUACCAACCUGAGCCAAAAUCACACAUCUUAGAAGACAAGGAUCUGAUCUUUGGAGUUUAUUCACACUGCAUAGCACAAGCUGAGCAAGAAAGAUACCCUGGUGCUGAAUUUUACAUAGUAGUGUUUGAAUAUUGUUGGGUUCUUAUUCUUCUCCCCCCAAAAAAGAAAAAAAAUAAAAGUAUUUGGAAAUACCCGAUGCACCUUUUCAUUGCUUU